rnacentral:rRNA from 1 species
AGAGUUUGAUCCUGGCUCAGGAUGAAUGCUGGCGGCGUGCCUGAGAUAUGCAAGUCGAGCGACUCCGAUGAUCCCCGCAAGGGGGCUAUCGGAGAGCGGCGGACGGCUGAGUAACACGUAGGAACUUGCCCCUAGGUAGAUGAUAGCUCACCGAAAGGUGGGGUAAUCAUCUAUGGUGUCCGAUGUAUAAUCGGACUAAAGGACGUAACUGUUCGCCAAGGGAUAGUCCUGCGGCCUAUCAGGUAGUUGGUAGGGUAAUAGCCUACCAAGCCUAUGACGGGUAGUUGGCCUCAUGAGGGUGGUCAACCAGAGGGGGACUGAGACACGGCCCCCACUCCUACGGGAGGCAGCAAUCAGGAAUAGUCGGCAAUGGACGAAAGUCUGACCGCGCGACGCCGCGUGAAGGAAGAAGCUUCACAAGAGUGUAAACUUCUGUGGUAAGGGAAGAAAGUCCGACAUAACGUCGGACCUGACGGUACCUUACUAGAAAGUGGCCGCUAACUGCGUGCCAGAAGCGUCGGUAAUACGUGGGCCACAAGCAUUAUCCGGUGUAAUUGGGCGUAAAAGGUCGUGUAGGUGGUUGUGUAAGUUAAUUUUUAAAUGUCCACGCUCAACGUGGAAAAUGGAAUUAAUACUACAUAGCUAGAAUUUUCUUUAGGGAGAUCGGAACUGAGGGAGGAGUAGUGAAAUGCGUUGAUACCCUCGGGAACACCAGUGGCGUAGGCGGAUCUCUGGAAGAAGAUUGACACUGAGACACGAAAGCUAGGGGAGCGAAGCAGAUUAGAGACCUGCGUAGUCCUAGCCGUAAACGAAUGUUCGCUGGCUGCAUGUCCCGCCUUUUGGCGGUACGUGUGGCGAAGGUAACCCGUUAAGCGAACCGCCUGGGGAGUACUGCCGCAAGGUUAAAACUCAAAGGAAUUGGCGGGGAGGCACACAACCAGUGGAACAUGUGGUUUAAUUCGAUACGAACCGAAGAACCUCACCAGGGUUUGACAUGCUAGCGUUCUAUUUCCUGGAAACAGGGAAAAUGCGAAAGCAGGCUAGCACAGGUGCUGCAUGGCUGUCGUCAGUUCGUUCCGUGAGGAGUGCCCUUAAGUGGGACAACGAACGCAACCCCUAUCUUGUGUUACAAGUGUCACAAGAGACUGCCCGAGCUUUGCUCGGGAGGAAGGAGGGGCAGACGUCAAGUCAGCAUGGUCCUUAUACCCUGGGCUACACACAUGUUACAAUGAGGAAUAACAAUGAGCUUCGCAAGCGAGUAAUCGCAAGCAAAUCUCAGAAAUUUUCUCUCAGUGGGGAUUGAGGUCUGCAACCCGACCUCAUGAACGUGGAAUUGGUAGUAAUCGCGGGUCAGCUACACCGCGGUGAAUACGUUCUUGCCUCUUGCACACACCGCCCGUCAAGCCAACAAAGUCGGAGAUAUUCGAACCUAGUCGUAAGCCUGGGGAGUAUAAUUUCGGCGAUGAGGGUUAAGUCGUAACAAGGUAACC